CUUCUCUCCCUCCUUCCCCCUUUUCUGUCUUCCCUCUCUUCCUGCUGUCCCUCCCCCUUCCUUUCUCAGUGCUUGUCCUGCAUUUCCUCCCAGUGUACCCCUUCUCUAGUGCCCCCCCCCCCAACAGCCACACUGCACUUCUUGCAUUUCUCUUCUCUUGCCCCCUAGCUUUGGUUGGACCACGUGACCUUUCUCUUGACUCCUCCCCUGUCUCCUGAUCUUGCUUCUUAGCUGGCCAAGUCCCAAGGCCCCAUCUUGGGCCUGCUUUUCUUCUGUUUUGGCUGUUUUGACUUCUGGCCUCCACCAGGGUACCAGUUUCCUGGAUCCAUCAGGCCGUUGGUCUAUCAGGCCUCUGGUCCAUCAGGCUGUUGGUCCAUCAGGCCUCUGGUCCAUCAGGCUGUUGGUCCAUCAGGCCUCUGGUCCAUCAGGCUGUUGGUCCACCAGGCCGUUGGUCCAUCAGGCCGUUGGUCCAUCAGGCCAUUGGUCCAUCAGGCUGUUAGUCUAUCAGGCCGUUGGUCCAUCAGGCCAUUGGUCCAUCACUGUUCCAUCAGGCCGUUGGUCCAUCAGGCCCCUGAUCCAUCAGGCCGUUGGUCCAUCUGGCCCCUGGUCCAUCAGGCCGUUGGUCCAUCUGGCCCCUGGUCCAUCAGGCCUCUGUUCCAUCAGGCCAUUGGUCCAUCAGGCCUCUGGUCCAUCAGGCCAUGGCUUGCUGGACCUUGAGGAGCUCCAGAUCCCUGCUCGUGCCUGCUGCUGUCACUGGGUCCUUGUGGAAUAUCUCCCGCCUUCCUCCCGUGCCAGGGAGCCCAGGAUUCUCUCAGUGUCCCGAGCUUGGGAGGGAGUCUCCCUCUGAGCUCUGAGACAGUCACCCCUUUCCAUGGGGGAGACAAGUGUCUGGGGGCCUGUGAAGGCGGCCCCGAGGAAGCAGGGUCUGUGUGGCUCCUUUUCAGGGAUGCCUGCUCCGGGCUGCUGUUCGGUGUUGGGUUGGGCCCGUGGGCCGCCACAGUCAUCCCCCCCACUAUCCCUUCCCUUCCCCACCUGCAGCCUGCUGUGUGUGCCAAUGACUUUGGGGAUCCUCCGUGGCUCCAGCUGAGGGGAGCCGAGCUCAUUGAUCCUGAUGAAGGGGCUGAGGGCUGGGACCCUCCGUGCCAGCGAACUGCCCAUUCGACAAGGAGCCAAAGGGGCCUCUGCCAGCCCCUUCCCUGCUCCGGCUCUCAUCCCCAAGAACCUGCCGUGUCCUCCCGGUCUUGUCUCCUUCAGCCCAAACAUGGCCAGCUCCUUCUGUGUCUUCAUGCGCAAUGGGAGCCGGGCCCUGUCCGUCCUGGCUGCCUCCUCCCAGGGUUCUCCCCUCUGCAAGGGGACCUGUGAGAUGGUCUCCACUCCCUGGACAGGGGCAGCCUCCUCCCCUCCCUGUCCAAACUAAUCAGCUAUGGUGCCCAGGAGCCAUGGCGCCCCAGGGUGUGUUCCAUGCAAGGAAACUGAGGUCCACUCGAGGUCCUGCAGAGAUGGGCCAGCUGCUCAGCUUGACUUCCUGCAUUAAGCACAGUGCCUGGCAUACAGUUGGUGCUUAAUAAAUGCUUAGCCCACUUGGGCCACAGACCUUCAAUCUAGAGUGAAACGUUUCUCUCCCUCCUCUAGGGAAUUAGGGUAAGAGGUCAGGUUCUCCUCCCCUCUCCUUUCUCCCCCCUCUCCUCUCCUUUCUCCCCCAUCCCCUCUCCUUUCUCCCCCAUCCCCUCUCAUUUCUCCUCCCUCGCCUCUCUUCCUUCCCUCCCUCUCUCUGCCAGGUCUCAGGCUAACUUCAGCAAGUGGCCACAGUGGGGGUGGGGGAGGUCACAGCACAAGUCGGGAAGCUCGGGAGCAGCGGGGGCCUAGCCCUCGGCACCCUGGGGUGCUCUGGGACACCAAAGGCCCUGUGCUGGAGCAGCGAGGUAAGGGGCCGGACUUAGGCUGACUGUCCAUCAGGGUGUGGUCCCCUUCCCCUCAGGCACACGCCCUCAGCCGCCCUCCCUAAGCUUUGCAGCUAUGAUCUCAUUUGAUCCUCAGUGACCUUGGGAGGGAGGGGCUAUUAUGAUCCCCAUUUUACAGAUAAGGAAACUGAGGCGGGCAGUGAAGUGACCUAUCCGGGGUCACUCGGCCAGGAUGUCUGAGGCUGGAUUUGCUAGCUGGCAGGGGAGGAGCUGCGUGUGCUGGGGCCGGGGGAGGGACUGAGGGGUGGGGGAGGGGCCGAGGGGCCGAGGCUCCUCUGGGAGUUCCCUGGCCGGUUCCCAGGGACAUCCUUGGGACUGUGCACCCCGUGGGCCUCCAUUCUCCCUGGGGAAGCUGGGCUGGACCCCUUUCCCUUCUCCCCCCUCCUGCUUGGCGGUGAUGGGGCCUUCCCCACCCCCCCCUUUCCCUUGGUCUUCUCUGGCUCUGAGGAAGCCCCCGUUUCAUCACCCGGAGCAGAAGAGCGGGGAGGGGGGCCCGAGGGGGGAGCAAAGAGAGACCGGAGGCCGUUAUCCCGGGCUCCCUGCGGACAGCAGUGGGGAAAGCCGGCCAAAGGCAGGGCCCUGCGGGGAGGCCCCCGGCCCCUUGGUCUCCCAGAGCGCCCCAGAGGGUGGCGCGGCGCCCGCCAUCCCGGGAGGAAAGGAGAAAGGGCCGGGAGUGCGAGCGCCUUCCGGGGAGACUCCAGCCCUAGAACUCGGGAGAGCCGCUGGCAAGAGGAGGCGUCCCCGCAGGUGCGGCCGGAGGGAGCCGGAAUCCCGAGCCUCGGGCCCAGGGCAGGGGCUAUACCAGGAGGAACACCACCGGUCAGGAGGGCGGUGCCCUGGGGAAGCAGGGCCCAGAGCUAAGCCCUACAGAUGCCGAAUGUGAGAGCGGCUUCCGGAGCGGCUCCCACCUCCUGGAGCACGGGAGGAUUCACACCGGACCAAGCCCUGCACGGGCCGCGAGGCUCCGCCCCCAGCGCCACCCUCGCCGCGCCCCGGAGGCUCCGCCCCGACGGGGCCCCGCGCCCUCCGGCAGCGAGGGAGAGCCCAGCUCGGACCUCCGUGCGCACCGGAGGAGUCACGGCGGCGAGAGACAGAAGCAGCUUCUCGUGGAGCUCGGCCCCGGGCGGCCACGAGAGGACGCGCAGCGGGGACAGCCCCGACGGGGGCGGGGAGGGGCCCGAGGCGGGUGGUGAGGGCGAGGAGGCAUUCAAGGGAGCUUGAACCUGAGCCAGCAACUGAGGGUGCCCACGGGGAGAAGCCCUACGGCUGAGGGAGUGUGGGCGCGCCUUCACUUGUAGGAUGGCCCUCGUCACCCACUGGAGGACCCACAGCGAGGAGAAGCCCCUGCCGGGUGGGGAGUGCGGAGAGGCCCCGGCGGGGGGAGUGCGGGGAGGUGCCGGGGGGGGUGGGGAGUGCGGGGACGUGGGCAGUGAGGGCCAGAGCUCCCGCCUGACUCGGCCCUGGAGCGUUCACAUUGUGCGCUCAGUGUGGGAAGGGACUUCACCCCGAUGGGCUCCAGCUCCGGGCCAGUGGAAAGGGGGCUGGCCAGACUUCUCUCUUCGUCUAGCCUCACUCCUGCAUCCAGGCAGCUCCCGCCAAGGGCUCUUGCCUGCUCUUGGUGCUGGGUCCCAGCCCCUAAAGCCUUUGGCUCCUGGAGGGACCCCGCCCCCCCUUCCCAAUCCCUCCCCCUCUUCCAGUUUCCUUUUUUCCGCCUACAAAUCUGCCAGAGUCCUCCCUCCGGUUGCCCGGGUCAUGGGGCUGGCCCGAGUCAUGGCACAGUCCCGGGCCCCCACUUAGCCCAUCGUCACUCCUAUAAGUCAACCCUUCCAACCCCCCCCCCCCACUGCCAACCAGCCAAAUGCUGCCAUUUCUCUAAACUGCAAAGCUGAGUCACCAGUGACCUCCCCUCUCAGGCCUCCCCUUGAGCUCCCUCAGGACUAAAAGGCCCUCCUGCUGUGGCCCUGUGCUGGGACAUCAACCCCACUGCUCCCUCACUGAGGUCUCCUCCUUGCCUCUGUCUUCUAGGGCCCCUCCUCCCUGCCCUUCCCUACCUCUGGGAGCUUCAUCUCAUGGCCUGUCCAAUGAGGAUCUGGCUCUGUGGGAGCAAGCUGAGGUUAGACCUCCCUGCUGUGUCACUGGCAGGCAGCCCACCAACCUCAGUCUGCUUCUGCAUCUGUGGCCACUCGCUCCUCUGGGUGCCAGGCUGUUUGUCCUCCCCUUCCAGAUGUCCCAUCCGGGGCAGACUGGCACGGAGCCUUUCUUGGAAGCACUUCCCCCAUUCCCUCCCUUCUGGGGACAGGAUUCCUAGGCCCUUGGGGGGGGGGGCUUUCCUACUAGAUGCUCCUGGCUGAGCCCUCUGAUGCCCUUAGGUGGCCUCCUCUGCCCAGGGCCAGCCUGGUCAUGUCCUGGUGACUCCAUGGGCCAUGAUGGAGUUCAUGACUUGCUGUCCUGGAAAGGGGAGGGUGGAGAAGGGUUGCCUUCCAAAGAAGGGGCUGGCCCUUCACCCAGUGGGGCUAGCACCCAGUGGUGACCGCCCUCCAGACUCCCCACGCUCCUGGCCCUGCCUUGGUGGGGCACCCCUCCCCCUCAAAUCCUUCCUGUCCUGCUGGAAUCCCUCUCCCUGGGAGCCUCCCCCCCCCCCUUUCUAAAGCACCUUGUGGAGGAGAUGGCAAGGUGUUGUUUGUGUGAGGAGGCCCAGGGAGAGGCAGUCAAGCUUAUCUGUUGGGGCUCCUGGCAAGGAGGUGGGCGGCAAUGUCGUUUCUCCUCCUCCCCUUCAGACUGGUAGCAGAGGUUCAAUGUGGCACAAGGGGGAACUUGCCCAGACUACAGGCAGAGGGAAAGAGAAGGGCGCACCAACGGCUCCCUCCCUGUCCUCUGGGACAGGCCAGUCUCUGCCUGUGGGGUUCCCCAGCCUCAGCUUUUCUGCUUUGGUCACUGAUGGGUGGAGUCGCCUUCCCCAGAUGUUCCCCUUGUGACCCCAGAUGGAGAUCACCUUGGUAACUUGGUCAGUUCUCCCCCAUAAUACCACUUUUUAAGUGGUCUUUUUUUAAUAAAUGGAUUAGAUUUUAUUAGUUGCCCAUAAAAAGGCAUAAAGUAAAUGUCCACUUGAGAAAUGAGGCAAGCUUCCUAGACGACCUGUGGCAGUGGUUAUUAUUGAUAAAUUGUAUACCAAAUAUCCAUGAGCAAUUGUUAAUUUGUUUUAUAUUUAGUACUAGCAACUAAAUUUUUUUUAAAGGUUUUUUAUUUAGGAAACAUAUGCAUAGGUAAUUUUUCAACACUAACCCUUGCAAAGGGUCCCCUACUUAUCUCCUUCUUCCCACCCCCUCCCCUAGAUGGCAGGUAGUCCAUUACAUGUUAAAUAUGUUAAAAUAUAUGUUAAAUCCAAUAUAUGUAUACAUAUUUAUACAGUUAUCUUGUGCAGUGUGGUCUCUUUUUUUUAUUAUUUUUAUAGUAACUUUUUAUUGACAGAACCCAUGCCAGGGUAAUUUUUUUUACAACAUUAUCCCUUGCACUCACUUCUGUUCCAUUUUUUCCCUCCCACCCUCCACCCCCUCCCCUAGAUGGCAAGCAGUCCUAUAUAUGUUGAAUAUGUCCUAGUAUAUCCUAGAUACAAUGUAUGUGUGCAGAUCCAAACAGUUUUCUUGUUGCACAGGGAGAAUUGGAUUCAGAAGGUAGAAAAUAACCCGGGAAGAAAAACAAAAAUGCAAACAGUUUACAUUCAUUUCCCAGUGUUUUUUUCUUUGGUUGUAGCUGCUUCUGUCCAUCAUUGAUCAAUUGAAACUGAAUUAAGGUCUCUUUGUCAAAGAAAUCCACUUCCAUCAGAUUACAUCUUCAUACAGUAUCGUUGUUGACCUAUAUAAUGAUCUCUUGGUUCUGCUCAUUUCACUUAGCAUCAGUUCAUAUAAUUCUCUCCAAGCCUCUCUGUAUUCAUCCGGGCAGAGUGGUCUUGAGGAAUAUAGAAUUCUAGGACUUAGAAGUGUUGCACCCCACUAUUGAAUUCUCAGAAACUUUGAUAUCACUGACCAACAGAUUAUCUGAUCGUCAGCAUUGUUUGUGGCACUCCCAAGGUCCAGUAGCAGGUAUUGAUAUGUCCUCCAUAAGAGCUACAUCUCAUUACUCUCAUUCCCGAGAUCCAACAGACAGUCAAGGUCUGUUGAUUUCACCUCUGCACCAUCUCUGGUCCAUUUCACCUCUGCAGUUCUCUGGUUGAUUUCAUUUCUGCACCAUCUCUAGUCCAUUUCGCCUCCGCACAAUCUCUGGUCCAUGUCACUCCUGCACCAUCUCUGGUCCAUGUCACUUCUGCAUCAUCUCUGACCCAUUUCACCUCUGCAGCUUCUCUGGUCCCUCUCAACUCUGCACUAAAUCUGGUCCCUUUUAACUCUGCAGCAUUUCUGGGCCAUGUCACCUUUGUACCAUCGUUGGCCUAUUUCACUUCUGGUCCAUCUCUGGUCCCUGGCACUUCUACAAUGUCUCUGGUCCAUUUCAUCUUUAGUCCAUUUCACCUCUGCAGCUUCUCUGGUCUCUUAACUCUGCAGCAUCUCUGGGCCAUCUCACCUUUGUACCAUCUCUGGUCCAUGUCACUUCAGCAUCUGUGGUCUAUUUCAUCUCUGCAACAUCUCCAAUCCAUAUCACCUCUGCUUCCCCCCUGGAUUGUUUCACCUCUGCAGCAUCUCUGGUCCAUUUCACCUCUCCACCAUCUCUGGUCCAUUUCACUUUUGCAGCAUCUCCAGUCCAUGUCACAUCUGCACCGUCUCCAGUCCAUGUCACAUCUGCACCGUCUCUGGUCCAUUUCACCUCUGCACCGUCUCUGGUCCAUGUCACUUUUUCAGUGUCUCUGGUCCAUUUCACUUUUGAUACAGCUCUGGUCCAUUUCAUCUGUGCACCAUUUCUUGUCCAUUUUACCACUGCAGCAUCUCUGGCCCAUUUCAUCUCUGCACCUUCUCUUGUCCAUGUUAUAUCUGCAGCAAUUCUCCGAAUAUCCCCUUUUCUCCUCUGACACCGUCACUUCCUUACUGCAGGAUCUUAUCACCUCACAGCUAUGUAAUGUGAUGCUAGUGGAUGGCAAUAGGGGCUGAUCUCGGGGAAUGGGUCUCUCUCUCCAGACCAUUCCUCAUUCUGCCACUAAAGUGAUUUUCCUAAAGCACAGAUCUGACGUCAUUAUCCACCCUCACUCAACAAACUCAAGUGGAUCCCCAUAAUUUCUAGGAGUAAAUAGGUAAUGCUCUGUUUGGCAUUAAAAGCUCUUAAUAAUCCAGCAGAAUUUUACACCUCACUCCCCUACAGUAUUCUUUAGGCAUGACAGCUCCAGGCUGUUCUCUCCAUUCAGUGCCCUGUGCCUGGCAUGCUUUCCCUCCUCGACUCUAUUGAUGUCCCUGGCUUCCAAGUCCCAGUUAAACUCCCAGUUUCUACAGAAAGCCUUCCAGGGCUUUUCCUGUGUUAAUGACUUCCUAUUACUCUGUAAAUUACUUUGGUUUUUAACUAUUUGCAGGCUCUCCCCCUUCAGACUGGACUCCUACAUGGCAGGGACCAACUUUUGCCUCUUUUUUGUAUCCCCAGCAUUUAGCACAGUGAUUGGCACGUAAUAGAUGUUUAAUGUUUUGACUAAUCAUUGUUGUCAAUAUUUGAUUUCAUACAGAUCCUGGCUUAGUGUAGCAGUUUCAGGAUACUAAAGUCUUCAAAAAGAGUCAAGACCAGCAUGGGAACCCAAGAACGAGAAAAAUGAGGCUUUAGGGGAGCUCCCAAGGAAGGAAAAUCAGAUGGUCUGGAGCCGCCAAAGGAAGAGAAAGGGAUUAUUCUUAGAUGUCUAUCAUUAUAGUUCUACCAGCUUUCCUGAUUGCCAGGUAACAAUCUGUUGUUCAGUGAUAAAAUGGGUUUCUAAGACAAAUGGUGAGGUGUAUACCAGACCACUCCUCAAUUUUACUUCUGGGCCACAAAAUUAGCAUAUCAGUAACAUGAAGAACCAGAUCUGUUUUUUCCUAUAAAUUUGUCUUCUUGCUCCUGGUUGUUUGCUAACUCCUUUUGGUGCGUCAGCUGGCUUCAACUGGCAUUACAAUAAACUUUGCACCUUAAUUUGGAGAUGGGUUCAAUCCUGCAAAUACUUUUUGAGACACCUCAACACUGGCCAUGACCCCAACCUUUGAAUCUCAAUUCUAUUAUACUUCCUUGCUGGGCAUUGUCCAUCUCCUUGACCCCCAAGCUGGUGCUUGCACUAAUUAAAAAAAGAAUUGGCUUAGAGACUUACUAUGGGAACAAGACUGACCAGGGUUCAUCUUCAAAGGAUGAUACUGAAGCAAAAAAAAAGUUUCUACCCCUAAGAAUGCUAAUUGGCUCCCUGCCCAGAGAGAAUUUAUAGAACUUCAAAAUGAAUUUAAAAAUCAAAUGAAACAUUGAGGAAAAACUAAAAAAACCUCCACAAAAAACAAGCAAAAAACCCCAAGAAAAACAAGAUUAUGAAAAAAGUUAACCAACUAGAAAAUGAAAUUUUUUUUUCUGAAGCAUUUGGGGUUAAGUGACUUGCCCAGAGUCACACAGCUAGGAAGUGUUGUGCCUGAGGCCAGAUUUGAACUCAGGUCUUCCUGACUUCAGAGCUAAUGCUCUAUCCACAAAACAAAGUCUUAAAGAUAAAAAAAUUCUCUGAAAAUUAGAAUUGGGCAAGAGGAAGCCAGUGAAGCUAUGAGACCAUAAAAUAUGAAAAAAAUAGAACAGAAUGUGAAACAUAACAGAUCUAGAGAGCAAAUCAAGAAGAAAAACUAGACCACCUGAAAGUUGUGAUGAAAAAAGUCUUGACACAAUACAAGAAAUAAUCCAAGAAAACUGUCCUGGAGUGUAAGGGUCCAGAGAGGAACCUCGCCUACUAUAAUGAUGAUGUCUGAGGUACCCAGAUGCGAUCUCUGCAGCUAGCAGAGACAGCCUUGUGAGUGGGAGCUCUGAAUCACAUUGAGAAAGCAGCAACAACGGGUUAUGUCUCCUCUUAUUGGCUGUGCAUAUGACCUCAUAGACCCAUGUAAGUAGUGAGGAGCUGGAAGGAGGUGGAAGCAGUAGGAGUUCAGUCAGAGUGUGGGAGAGUGCAGGAGUGGUGCAGGAUGUGAUCGCGUAGAAUAAAGACCUGAGCUCGCAAGCCGCUGUGUCUGGGUGCUCUUUUGGACAAGUGAAGCAGUGACCAGAGAUCUCGGAAGACCUAGGAUUAGGUAAGCAGUAAAGAACCACUGCUUGAAGAGGCAGUGGCCAGGGAUUUCUGAAGACCUGGGAUUAGGCAAGACUGGCAAUCAGUAACCUCUGAGGGGGGAGGUUACACUGGAGUGAUAGAAUAUGUGAAGAAAGUAGAAAUGAAAAAAACACCGAUGACCGUUUCAAAGAGAUCCUUUGUGGAAAACACAUAGGAAUAUUGUCAAACUUCAAAACCUCCACAUUAAAGAGAAACUCUUGCAAGAAACAAGAAAAAUAAACAAUUCAAAUAUGCUGGGGCUACAAUUAGAAUUGUGUAGGACUUAGCAGCAGCCAUAAUAAAAAGACCUCAGGUCCUGGAAUCAUAUACACUGGCAAUUAAAAGAACUAGGCCUGUGGCCAAAAAUAUAUCCAGCAAAAUUAUCCAGAAUAUCGAAUGAAAAAGAAAAUGGACAUUCAACGAACUUGUAGAUUUUCAGGACUUUCAACCAAACCUAAACUGAAAAUUUUUUCUAAGAUCUAAUAUCAAAGAUGAGUUUCAAGGAACUUAAUAUAAACAAAUUCUUUUUAAACACGGAAAUACUCUAUGUUUAAGAUUGAAAUCAGCAAUGGGGUAGCUUCAAAGAAAUGAGGUGCAGAGGGAGAAGAGACAUGGAAGCUAAAAUUGGAGGGGGGUUCAUAGUUUUGAAAGCCUACUCAUGUUGAAAAUGGGUUAAAAUAGGGAACACUACAUGUAUACCAUAUAUGGCCUCCAAAAUCUAUAAAUAAGGAUGGACAGAAGAUGGAGAAAGAAUAGAGGGAUCCAUGGAUGGAGAAAGAAUAGAGGGAUCCAUGGGUGGGGACAAAGUUAAAUAGUAGCAAGUGAAGGAAAAUUAAAGCAGAGAGUUAGCAGGGAUAGGAAAAAUGUAUGGGGAAAGGGUGUGUGUGCGUGUAUACACAAUGUAAUAGAUACAUCUCCUUACUGUCAGCCUGCAUAGGGGAAGUGGGGAUGGGGUUGAAAGAGAUAAAAAAGAACAGAAAAAGUGCUCAGCAGAGAACAAAAGAACUUGUAAGAUGGACAUUCAUGAAUAUUUCUUCUAUUAUAUAUUCUUUCUUGAACCCAGUAAUUUAUAUAUUUUGAAUCCUCACUGGUGUUCUGCUGAGCACAUGACAAUGGUUUAUGGUCCAUUUUGUCUCUCUCUUUUUUUUUUUUUAAGUUAAAAUGAGCAGUCUGAUUUCACAAAAGCCUGGGAAGACUUACAUGACCUGAUGCUGAAUGAAGUGAGCGGAACCAAGAGAACAUUGUACACAGUAACAAUCUGAUCACUCAACUGUGCUGGACUUGGCUCUUUUCAACAGUUUGAUUCAAAGCAAUUUCAACAGACUUGGGAAAGUGCCACCUGCAUCUGGAGGGAGACUAUGGGGCCUGAACGUCCCCCAAAGCAGAGCAUUUUCACUUUUGUCUGCCUGUUUCCCCCCGUAUUUCCCCCCUUUUCAUCUGAUUUUUCUUGUGCAGUAUGACAAGUACGGAAAUGCUCACAAUUGCACGUGUCUAGCCUCUAUCUGCUUGAGAUCUUGGGGGGGUGGGGAGAAAAAUUUGGAACACAAGGUUUUGCGAAGGUAAGUUUUGAAAACUAUCUCUGCAUGGAUUUGGGAAAAUAAAACACUCUUUAAAAAAUGCUUUAGGCUCUGGCUGGAGACACCCUCAGGACAUGGACCAGUCCCACCCAUUGGGACCACCGAUAAGUCAGUAAUCCAGUCACUGGUCAACGAGUGGAGUUUGAGUCCAGGAAGGGCAGGCUCCGGAAGCCCCACCAAAAACAAGUCCCAGAGCACUGGGACUUCGCCCCUCUCAGAGACGCUCCGAGUGCUCCCCGAGGGCAGAGACUUUGGCCUUUUGGUCAGUGCAUCCCUUGUGUAUCAGACAGUGGCUAGCACCCUGUGGGUGCCUGAUAAAUGUCUGUGAUCAACCGCUUGGCUGAUUUCACCAGGGAAGGGAGCUGGUCCCAGAGAAGGGAAAGGUCUGCCAGAGCGCAGUCUGUAAGGUUCAGAACCAGAAUCCUCUUACAGGUCAUUUCAGAAGAGUAAGUCAAGGCAAGAACGACUCACUCAGCCCUUCCUUUGUGCCAGGGUUCCCUAGGACGCCCCCAGGGCUCCCCACCACCCCUCUGGCUGGUUGUUGCCCUUUGUUCUUGAAGAGGACCAAAAUGACAUCUGUGAUGGCGUCCAGUGGCGGCGUGGCCGACCAGACCAAUGCGCUCCAGAUGCUCUGUCACAGACACAAGGAGUCCCCAUGGACUCCGGGGGCUUCUCGCGCCCCCUCUGGCACAGCGGCAGCCCCUUCUCUGAGGGCUUGCCACGCUGGUCGGCCCCUGCCAUACGGUGGGUUCUCUGGCCCUCCAGCGGGCCCCUGGAUCACUUUUCCUGCCCGCCUUGGGGGCGUGUGCCUGUGGAACCCUGACACUGCCAUUUGGUAGCUAUAUGGGAACCUCUGAGCCUUCCUCCCACCUAAGAUAAUCCUGUUAAUUGAGUCAAGAAAGUCCUUAGUGGGGCAGCUGGAGGGCACAGUGGAUAGGGCACCAGCUCUGGAUUUAGGAGGACUCAAGUUCAAACAUGGCCUGAGAUACUUAACACUUUCUAGCUGCGUGACCCUUGACAAGUCACCAAAUUCCAACUGCUCCCCCCAAAAAAAGCCCUUCCUACACACCCAGAAGACACCUAGAAGGGGCAGAACCCACCAGGAAGCUCCUGUUCACAACCGACACCUGAGAAGAGGGUCCCCUCAGCCCAGGCCUCGGGGUCACCAGAACAGAGGAGGCCGACCCGGCUUGGACCACUCAGCAUGGAGGCUUCCUCGGAGGCCCGGAAGCCAGCGGGCUGGCGGGGGCUUCUGGAGGGACUUGGUCAACCUUGGAGGCUGCAGAAAGCUGCUUAGUCCAAUGUUUCACAAGAGAUCCAGACUGUGAGCCAGGACCUGCCCACCUGGUCCACAGGUAUCGUCCACAAGCCCUGCACGGGUGGGGUCUCCCCUGGCCCAGACUCUGGCUCUGACCGCCUCAUUGCCCACCCGCCCUUUGGGGGCCCUGGGAAGCGUAAGGCUCGGUGCCAGUUUACGGUGCAAAGGACCCUAGUCUCCAGCAUUGCCUCCUGGGUCUCACUUUCCUUAUCUGUAAAAUGUGACACUGCUCUCAGCGCCCACUCCCCAUCCCUCCCAUCUCAUUGUCAUCAUUUCAGCAGAGAAGUGCCCCCUCCACUUCCCCCCCCCCCCCCCCCCCCCCGCCCUGCUCCCAUUCUUUCUCCCCCACCUUCCUUUCUGGAUAUCCGCCCUCUCCUGAGCCGUGGGAAGGGGGCCAGGAAGGGUCUGAGGAAGACCUCCAGGGCAGAGGGAAACAAGGGCUAUUCCUACUUAUCCCCCACAGGUCCCGCCCACCAGCCCCAGCAGCUCCAGCUUUGGCUUCUGUGACCCAUUGGGGCUGCCCAAGCCCUCCGCUUCUCCCGGGAUUCUGGAGAGGGGAAAUCGGACUUCCGCUUUUCCAGUUAUUCCCUUAAGAACCACGUAUUUCAGCAGCUACGGCACCACUGUCCACUCCUUUCCGGUUGCUACAAAGUCAGGGAACAUCCCUGGGGCCGCAUCAGUGCGCUCCCUCCAGGCCGGGCGUCAGGGCCGGACAGAGGCUCUGUCAUGGCCAGCCUCCGGUGGGUGAGUUCUCUCUUGUGGAUGAAGGUGCGUCUUCCAGGGGAAGGGGCUCCCGCAAGCGUGACUCUCAAGGGCUUCUCUCCAGUAGGGACCCUCUGAGGUUCCCUCAGGGAAGCGAGUGCCCUCAAGGCCUUUAUCACACUGACAGGGUCUCCCCCCAUCAUGGACCCCCCUGAGGCUGAGCGAGGGGGUGCUACGGGUAAAGGCCUUUUCACGUCCGUCACACUGACAGGGUCUCUCCAGUGUGAAUUCUCAUGUUCAUUGAGGCCUGAGCUCACCCUGAAGGCUUUGCCCCACUCAGCACAACCACAGGCUUCUCACUCCUAUGUCCAUUAAGGAAUGAGCUCAGUCUAAAGCUUUUCCCACCGUCACCACAUACGGAAGGUCUCGUUCCACGGUGAAUUCUCUGGUGCCAAGUGGGGGGUGGCCCUGGCUGAAGGCUCCCCCACACUCAGCGCUCUCGUGGGGCUUCUCUCCGAUGUGAACUCUCUGGUGCGGGGCCAGUUUCCCCCACAUUCACUGCAUUUAGAGGGAUUUUCUCCGAGGGCCUGGUGGGAAUAAAGGCUCCCCCACACUCAGCGCACUCACGGGGCUUCCUUGCGGAGGGACCUGCUAAGGUAUGGGCGCUGACCCAAGGGUUUUCCACAGCGAUCACAAGGGGGAAGUCUCUGAUGCCCGGGAAGGCUCUCCCACGCUCACGGCUUUUGUUCCUGUAGAGCAGGAGAUGGGCCUGGGCAAAGGCCUUCCCCACCCGGGACCCCGAGAGGGUUUCUCAGCCUGAGUCUUCUCGUGUUCGCAUAGGGGGAGGCAGGGAGGAGGCUCUCCGGCGUUUCUCUGUCUGUGUGAACACUCUGGGGCCGAUCGCUGCCCGCAUUCUACAACCGGGAAGGUUUCUGCACGCCCUGCGCCAAGGGUGAGGAGCCCUUUCCCCUGUGCUAGACCACGAGCCAUCACGCCCGCCGGAAGCCCCCGAUGCUCCUUCUCGUCCUGCGUCGCCCGCUGGGGUCUCUGAUGGCCGACUUCUCAGCGGCGGGCCAGGCCACGGGCGCCCCUUUUCUGGUGAUCGUGUUCGGGGUGCACUUCGGGACUCGCUUGGCUCGGGCAUCUCCUUUCCAGCCCACAGUCCCGUGAGCUGGCAACCCCGGGCCUCUGCCUUUUCAUUCCUUGUGACAAGGGGGGCUUCAGGUUCUGGGUAUGGCCUCUUGUCUCAGGUCUGGUCUGAAAGACACUGACAAUGUCACCUGUUCCUAUCCGGUGGGGCUGAAGGGGUGGAACUAAGCCCAAAACUUGGAGGGGAGCGAGGCUGAGGUGGCUGGUGGUGGAGAUGGAGGCAGUGAACGACUUCUCAGGAGCCAGGACCCCUGGAGGGAGGGACCAGGGGGACCUGCCCCUGCCCCAGGAGACAGGAGUGCAGCAACCCCAAGACAGGCUUGCCUUUGGGGGAGAGGAGGGUCAGCUGCUCUAACCUGGGGAAGGUGGCCAGAAAACCCACGGGGAUGAAUGGACCGGGAGGAAAGGCAGCCCCCAAGGCGCUGUCCCCUUCUCAGGCACCCGCAGGAAGACGCCCUCUCUGGCCGCCUCCCAGUAGGUCAUAGCCCCGGGAACACUGAGCUCGCCGCUGGCCCGGGGGCAGACGGCAGAGACGCCCAGGGGCCCUGGAGGUCGGGGUGGGGGAGGGGAUUCACAUGGACUCCAAACACUCUUCCUCGGCUCCCACGUCCUUGGGACCCCUGACCCGGCUGCCCCUCAGAACUGGACCCUGGCCACACCUGAAGCCCUCGCCCCCUCCCUGCUCUCAUCUCCUCUGACCUCCCUCCCCGACCCCGCCUCGGGCCAGCUUCCAGAGCCGGGACUCUAUUUGUUGGUAAGUUGUCUCCUCCCCGUGACCGGAAGUUCCUCAGGAGCCUCUCCCCUUUGUGACCACUUCCCCAGUGGAGGCGGUCCCGCAUCCCCCCUUCUGGGGGCAGGGGCCGCGCUGGGCCUCUGGGACCAGGGAAUAAAGAGGGGUCCUUUGACCUGCCUUCUCCCCCCUCGCCCUCCCUGGUGACUACAGGCUCCUGAGGGCAGCCGGGCACACAGCAGGCGCUGCAUAAAUGCGGAGGUUGGGGGCGUCACCACCGGUGUGGGGGGGUACAGAUGUCUCUGAAGGCCACUCGCUGUUCCCUUUGGGGCCUCACUCUCCCCUAAGCGUCUCCAGCCAUUUUCUGAGCUCGGCAAGACUCCCACUGGGCAAAGAUGCGCGAGCGUGAACCAGCCUCCUUGCUGAGGAGUGACGUCAUCGGACCUCUUCUCCAGGGGCCUUCCUCCCAAACAGCCCGGGGUCCCUCCCCACGGUUGGACCAUGACGUCGCUCAUCCAGACCCCGCCCACUGAGCGUCCCAGCGUGAGCGUAAGCGGGACAGAGGCGGGGCUGGGUGGCCCCUCGGAGUCCGGGGAUGCGGACGUCCCUCCGGCGGCCUCGCCACAAGCCGGUUGGCCUGGGCCUCCGCCUCUGCGCGCGCCCGCGGCCUCGGGAGCCCCAGGCACGUGCGCACCCGGCGCCGGUCCCGGCAGCCCGCGCCUGGGCCGGCCCUCAGUGCGCCUGCGCGCCCGCCUUCUCCGCCCGGCCCUGUCUGCGGGACGCCGGCACCCGCCGCGGAGGCGCUACGUUCCCCCGAAGCCUUUGGGCGGCUCGUGCUGUUGGCUGCCUGCUGGACGCUUAGGGUUAGGGUGGCGGCCGCCUUUUCUUUUCUUUUUAAAGGCGAGAAACAGGCUGCGGGAGGGGCGCGUUCUUGGCGAGUUGCUCCUUCCCAGAAAGUCCCCACCCAUGUGCUUGGAGAUCCUCAGGCGCUCCAGCCGGACUCAUGCCUGCCAGGCACAGGCCUCAUGCCCUGCCCCCAGAAACUGAGUGUAAAAGCUUCCGAACAGUGUCCUUUCGAUUCAGGGCCCGCCUGUUUCCCCAUUUCUCUCUUCUCCCCUCCAGCCUCCAACCUUUAACCUUGAGCCCAGGAUGGAUCAGAGCGGGGCGCCCGGUCUGGGUGGACCUCGGCUUCUGGACCCCAGAUGGGCAGGUCCCGGAAGCUCUAUCUGUCUGCCCGAUUUGAGGGUCCAUCUUCCGGCCUUUAUCCACGUGCUCCUCAUUGGACCGUAACUGGCCCUCGGGUGUCACCUCAGCUGUGUGAUAUCGCCGGGCUGCCGGAGAGAGGAGGCGCUUCUGCAGUUGUCAUGGAGACAGAACGUCCUCCCUCCCCUAUGGAAAUUAGCCUGUACCAGUGCUUUCUGAUUGGUAGGUACGUCCCGCCCUCAGCCAGGAACAUGCGCAGUAUGCAGGGGCCGCCCGAACAAAGGGAAGGCGGGCUCUUGGAGGAUUUUGGGAAGCGGAGUGGAGGGUUGCCGGAGCGCAUGCGCAUUGUGUCAUCCGAAACGGAAUGCGCGCGCAGGGCCGUCCACCAUUCAACCUUCCUCGGGCUUCCGUUGGCUUCUGUUUUCCCUCGCCCCGGGGAAGGCGCCCUCGCGGGCGGUACGUUCCGCGGUCCUAACUGUCGGCGGUCCUUCUGCCGGGCCGGAGGCAGGGAAGAGACGGGGAGCAGUGACGUCACAAGGCUGGUCCAGGACACGAAGGAGUCGCGAACCUGAUGACAUCACCUGUCACCGGGGCCUUUGGACGCAGGCGGAGGAAAGGGGGAGGGGCGAGAUAAUGACGUCACUUGUUACUGUCGCUUCAGGCAGGAGGAACUGGGACGAGUGACGUCAUAUGUUGGGGCUCUUGGGUACAGCCCGAUGGGGGCGGGGCCUGGUGACGCCACCAGUUGCUGGGGUCCUAAGAAGAGCUUUGUCUCCUGUGGUCUCAAGUACCUGGGCACACAGCAGGUGCUUCAUAUGUGCCUGUCAAGUCCUAGGAUGGGAUAGCCUCAAAGUCGCCCACAUGUCAGUGGGUCCUUGGGAGCCCAGAGAUCCGGCGCCGCCUGGGAAUUCGACCCUCUCCUUUGGCCGCCGAGCUGGGGCAGCCGUGUUCUGGGGGGAGGGGAGAUCUGGGACAAGUUUUUGUGACUGCGGCUCAGCUGUGGGAUUGCAGCCCCUCUGCUGACAUCUCCCUCUCUCUGCCCACAGCAGCCGCCCUCAAGGGGACAUCCCCAGCUCCCCAGACUGAGCCCCUGGAGGGUUACUUCCUGUGUAGACCCCUAGAAGUCAGGGCUUGACCUCUGAAAACCCUCUGACUCCCCUUACAUGACCCUACUCUCCCUUGACCCCUCAGCCCUCUCAGGCUCUCUCCCCCGCUCUAGCUAUUCCCUCUACUUCUCCCCAUUGGCGACCCAGCUCAGCCCUUGUGCUCCUCUCCUGAAUCCCUUGAUCUCUACCAUGAGCCCAAACGUGCCCCACCCCCAAAAGCUCCAGUCUUGGAUCACUCUCACCAUCUGACCUCCUCCAUGCCCACAUACAUGUUGGUAAAUGAAGGUAGAGAAAAUCACAUCCUGACAGGGCCCACUCCAGGUUUACGGGACACACUCCACUGGGCCCUUGAUGCUACCAGGCAAUCUUACUAUAGCUCCCUCAUCAGCUUACUCCCCUCCCUGACAAUGGCUCCUCCAAAGCCUUCCUCUCCCCCUCUCUCAGCUGAAACUCUUUGUUUUGUAAAAAAAAAAAAAAAACCUGAGACCAUUUGCCAUGAACUUCCUCUUCUCCCCUUCCCUCCCUCAGAAACCCCUAUCCUUCCCUCCUUCCUUCCCCCAUCUUCCAUGCUGAAAUGGUCUGACUCCUGGCCAAGGUUGACCCUCUAUCUGCUCCAGGGAUUCUCCCCAUCUUGCCUACUCCACCAGAUCAUUAGUCUCUCUCUGGCUCCUUGCUCCUUCAAACCUAUAAAUCUAACCAAUCUCCCCCAAUCCUCACUUGACCCAUCUACCCGGCUAACUGUCAUUCUAGAUCUCCUCUGCCCUUUGUGGCUAAACUCAAAUUCAUCAUCUAUGAUGGCAUCUCUCCUCUGUCUUCCAAACCUGCGAUGGUUUGACCUUUGACAUUAUCAUUCCACCCAAACUGCCCCCUCCAAAGUGACUGUCAGGCUCUUAGUGAUCAGAUCCAGUGACUCAUUCUCCUGGACAGUUCUGUGGCAUUAAACACUGUUAGUCACUCUUUCGUCCUGAGUCCUCUCUUUUCUCUAGAUUUUCAGGGACAUCCACUCUUUUCUGGUUCUCUUUCUCUGACUACUUAUUCCUUCCAUGUCUCCUUUGCCGGGUCCUCCUCCAGACCCUGUCCAUUCCCUCAGGGUUCUGUCCUGGGCUCUCUUCUCUUCUUUUUCCAUACUAUUUCACUUGGUGACCUUGUUGGCUCUCAUGAAUUAAAUUACCUCUGCUAUGCUUAUGAUACAUACAUACAUAAAACAAACUCUCCUGCCUCAACCUCCCUGUUGAUCUUGAAUCUCUUACUAUCUUAAAGACAUUUUGAACUGGAUGUCCAAUAGACAUUCAUCUUAAACUCAACAUGUCCAAAUUAGAACCCAUUGUUUCUUCCCCAAUCCCUGCCAUCUGUCUGCUAAAUUAUUGUAGCGGGCACCCUCGUUCUUCCAGUCUUUCAGGAUCACGUUGCACUCUUUACUCUCUCUCACUGUCCAUAUCUAACAUGGUGCCAAGGCCUGUCCAUUUCACUUCUGCACCAUCUCUGGUCCAUUUCACUUCUGCACCAUCUCUGGGCCAUUUCACCUCUGCAGCUUCUCUGGUCCAUUUCACCUCUGCAGCUUCUCUGAUCCAUUUCAGUUCUGCACCAUCUCUGAUCCAUUUCAGUUCUGCACCAUCUCUGAUCCAUUUCACCUCUGCAGCUUCUCUGGUCUUUUUCAACUCUGCAGCAUCUCUAGUCAAUUUUGUCUCCAUACCAUCUCUCCGAUACAUCCCCCUCUUCCCCUCUGACACUGCCCCAUCCUGGUGCAGACCCUCAUCACUUCACUAUCACAUGAGUUGCUAUAGUAGCUGGCUGCUGGGGGUUCUUCUUGCCUCUUGUCUCUCCUCACUUUAGUCCAUCCUCCAUUAAGUGACCAAAGGGAUUUUCUUAAAGUAAAAGUGUGACCAAACCUACCAUCUUUGUGCCUACUGGAUCCACAUCUCUGAAGGGGAAAGUGAGGCUGGUGACCUUGCCCAGUCCUCCCUCACUUAGAUCUAGUUCACGUGCAUGUCAUGACAUCACUUCCCUGAUAUCAUGGUUUUCUUUGAGAAUGAAGGACAAAAAACAACCCUUCAGUAACUUUCAAUGGAUUCUUAUUGCCCCUAGGAGGAAAUGCAAAAUGUUUUGUUUCAGUUAAUCAUUACACAUUUAUUUAUUAAGUGCUUAUUAUUUCCAGGCACAUAUUGGGGAUACAAAAAGAGGCAAAAAUAGUCUUCUUGAGCAUCUGCUAUGGUCUCAGGUCUCACUAUUGGUGGGUGUACCCCACCCCCCCACCUCCCCACCCCCUGAGAAUUCCUGGCUGUGAGAGAGCUUGUGGUGCAGUAGAUAAUUCUAGGCCAAGAAUUGGUAAGAUCUGUACUCGAAUUCUGUCCAGAGAGCUGGGCAUCCCAGGGCAAUCAUUGAUCCUCUACCUCAGUUUCCUGAUUUGUAAUACAAGGAUAAUAAUGGCAUCUACCUUGAAGGAUGAAUCAGAUAAUGAGAAGAUUAUCAGAGAAUCAGAGAAGAGAAUACUUUCAAUCAAUCAUUAAAGCAAGAAAUCUUCAGACACCUGCUGUAUUCCAGGUACCGCAUAAAGUUGUGGGGACUGAAAAAGAGGCAAAAAAUAGUGGACAAACACAUAUAUAUAUAUAUAGCAAGCUCUACUACCCAAGAUAGAUGGAAGAAUUGGCAGAGGGAAGGCACUGAACUUAAGGGGGAUUGGAUCAAAGAAUUAUGAGUGAAGCACUAUACACAGCUUUAUUUAAGGUGAUCAGCUUUACUUUCUCCCCCCAAAACCAUGAGAAGUCUCAUUGCAAAAUCUGGUAAUGUUCUUGGUGGGAGGUGUGGGCAACUUCAGUUUGCAGUGAAACAUGCUGCUUACCAAAGUACUUCUAAGUUAAGGGUUCAACUCCUAAGAAAGUUCUAUUUUCCUUUGUGGUAGUAAUAAAAAUGAAAUGAAAUGAUAGUAUAAGAGACUUGUGGAUGUCAUAGAUAUUUGUAAAAAAUUCAGGACUCUUUU
ensembl:lncRNA